rnacentral:rRNA from 1 species
UACGUAGGGGGCAAGCGUUGUCCGGAUUUAUUGGGCGUAAAGAGCGUGUAGGCGGCUUGGCAAGUCCGCUGUGAAAACUCGAGGCUUAACCUCGAGACGCGGUGGAAACUGCUUGGCUAGAGUCCGGAAGAGGAGAGUGGAAUUCCUGGUGUAGCGGUGAAAUGCGCAGAUAUCAGGAAGAACACCAAUGGCGAAAGCAGCUCUCUGGGACGGUCACUGACGCUGAGACGCGAAAGCGUGGGGAGCGAACAGG